CCCAGGACAAAUGUUCCCUAUUGAACCGUAAAGAAACCGAAAGGCGAAGGUUGUGACGGCUUUGGAAAACUCGCAGGUGCGCAAGUCAGCAAAUGCCAUGAGCACGUGUGCAAAAGGGCCGAAAACGCCAGUCAUCACAUGCGGUGGCAUUUUCUAUCUCUAGGAUCUGUGAUGCCCCUUUAAAAAGGCAUCCUUUGACCUCCCUUCGGCUGGCCUUAAAUACCAUUUCCGGGUCUUCUCAUAGAAAUCCAUACCUUUGGCUCCACCCUCCCAUCCACCUUGAACUCUUGAGAACAAAGCAGUUUCAGGGUGCCUAGGCCUUUCUUGCUCAGGAAAGAUGGAAACCUUGGGGGUUCGGGAGACAAGACGGAGAGAUGGGAGCUAUUGAAAGCCAAGGCAAAGCCUGCCUGCCAUCCCUUGCCAUUGACAGGGAACAUCACAUAAUUUUUCCAGAAGAACUAAAGUCCUGGACACCAGCCAUGUCUUGACAGCUGCCUAAACAUGAUCCAUGAGUCUUCCAGAAGAAGGAUGCCCUAUUCAUGCCCACAGACUUUAAUAAGAACCACCUCCCAUUCAAACUGCCUUUGUGGAUACAUCUUGUCAACAACCUGUAUGUAGUACUCCCAACCUCCCCCAUCCCUGCCUUCAACAGAGUGGAGAUCUUGAAAGAUGAA